rnacentral:rRNA from 1 species
AUUGAACGCUGGCGGCAGGCCUAACACAUGCAAGUCGAGCGGAGCGGCGGACGGGUGAGUCAUGCCUAGGAAUCUGCCUGGUAGUGGGGGAUAACGUCCGGAAAAGGGCGCUAAUACCGCAUACUAUCAGAUGAGGCUAGGUCUGAUUAGCUAGUUGGGGGGGUAAAGGCCUACCAAGGCGACGAUCCGUAACUGGUCUGAGAGGAUGAUCAGUCACCCUGGAACUGAGACACGGUCCAGCCUCCUACGGUAGGCAGCAGUGUGGAAUAUUGUACAAUGGGCGAAAGCCUGAUCCAGCCAAGCCGCGUGUGUGAAGAAGGUCUUCGGAUUUUAAAGCACCUUAAGUUGGGAGGCGUUACCAACAGAAUAAGCACCGGCUAACUUCGUGCCAGCAGCCGCGGUAAUAC